CAGUAGGCCUAGGAAGAUUUUCAUCUCAUUUCCUUCUUGAGAGAUUUUUUCCUAGUGUACGGUUGAGACAUGAUUUAAAAGAAGAAGGCUAUCUGAACACAACAAUAGCAUUAUAACUUUCAGGCUUACUUACUUAAGCUAAAAUAAAUCUCAGAAAGGAGAGAAGCCUGCAUCCUUCCUCGACUCUGGUCAAAUCAUCAGACAAUGGAGCAGGCACGUGGAUAUCAGGAACCAAAAAUAGCUUUGGAUUUGAAGAAGCCUCAAGAAUCAAAUGCUGUGGUUCUGGAGAACCUUCCAGAUGUUGAACAAGAUGUUUUGUCUCUUUUGGUGGAGAACAUCACCAGUCUUUCUGAGAACGACUUUACCACGGAAUUAAUACCAGAAUUAAGAAAAGCAGUUGUGACCUUUAAAAAUCCCAGUGGCAAGUUGUUAUUUACAUUUAUUAUUUACAUAAUAUUUAUUUUCACAUAAUAAUGUGACUAAAAACUUAAUUUAGCCUAUAAUCUUGAUUUACAUUAUUCUCUUUUUGGACUAGGGAAAGAGUUAUGAUAUCUGGAAAUUAGAAUAUGUUUACUUGAUGGAUCUAACUUUUGUUGUUGUUGUUGUUGUUGUUGUUAAAUAGGAAAUUGACCUUAAUUAAUCCAUGUUCUGGCUGUCCAUCCAAAUCUGAUUUUUGUGCAUAUCCAAUUGAAAUCCAAUCCGACAGAAGAUGCAGUAGUCCAGCGCGGUGGCUGCAUAUUGUCAUGUGGUAAAAUAAGAAUAACAUCUGUAUUGCAAACCCUUCCAUGAUGUGAUUGUUGUUGUUAUUGUUUUUGGCGUAUACAGUACAGUCCAAAAGUUUGG